rnacentral:rRNA from 1 species
UCAGAUUGAACGCUGGCUCUAUGACUUACACAUGCAAGUCGAACGGCAGCACGGGUGCUUGCACCUGGUGGCGAGUGGCGAACGGGUGAGUAAUACAUCGGAACAUGUCCUGUAGUGGGGGAUAGCCCGGCGAAAGCCGGAUUAAUACCGCAUACGAUCUACGGAUGAAAGCGGGGGACCUUCGGGCCUCGCGCUAUAGGGUUGGCCGAUGGCUGAUUAGCUAGUUGGUGGGGUAAAGGCCUACCAAGGCGACGAUCAGUAGCUGGUCUGAGAGGACGACCAGCCACACUGGGACUGAGACACGGCCCAGACUCCUAUUGGAGGCAGCAGUGGGGAAUUUUGGACAAUGGGCGAAAGCCUGAUCCAGCAAUGCCGCGUGUGUGAAGAAGGCCUUCGGGUUGUAAAGCACUUUUGUCCGGAAAGAAAUCCUUGGCACUAAUACAGUCGGGGGAUGACGGUACCGGAAGAAUAAGCACCGGCUAACUGCGUGCCAGCAGCCGCGGUAAUACGUAGGGUGCGAGCGUUAAUCGGAAUUACUGGGCGUANAGCGUGCGCAGGCGGUUUGCUAAGACCGAUGUGAAAUCCCCGGGCUCAACCUGGGAACUGCAUUGGUGACUGGCAGGCUAGAGUAUGGCAGAGGGGGGUAGAAUUCCACGUGUAGCAGUGAAAUGCGUAGAGAUGUGGAAGAAUACCGAUGGCGAAAGCAGCCCCCUGGGCCAAUACUGACGCUCAUGCACNGAAGCGUGGGGAGCAAACCAGGAUUAAAUACCCUGGGAAUCCACGCCCCUAAACGAUGGUCAAUAAUUGGUUGGGGAAUCCUUUCCUUUAUAAACGGAACUUACCCCUUGAAAUUAACCCCCUGGGGAAUACGGGUCCCAAAAUUAAAACUCAAAGGAAUUGACGGGGACCCGCACAAGCGGUGGAUGAUGUGGAUUAAUUCGAUGCAACGCGAAAAACCUUACCUACCCUUGACAUGGUCGGAAUCCCGCUGAGAGGUGGGAGUGCUCGAAAGAGAACCGGCGCACAGGUGCUGCAUGGCUGUCGUCAGCUCGUGUCGUGAGAUGUUGGGUUAAGUCCCGCAACGAGCGCAACCCUUGUCCUUAGUUGCUACGCAAGAGCACUCUAAGGAGACUGCCGGUGACAAACCGGAGGAAGGUGGGGAUGACAUCAAGUCCUCAUGGCCCUUAUGGGUAGGGCUUCACACGUCAUACAAUGGUCGGAACAGAGGGUUGCCAACCCGCGAGGGGGAGCUAAUCCCAGAAAACCGAUCGUAGUCCGGAUUGCACUCUGCAACUCGAGUGCAUGAAGCUGGAAUCGCUAGUAAUCGCGGAUCAGCAUGCCGCGGUGAAUACGUUCCCGGGUCUUGUACACACCGCCCGUCACACCAUGGGGGUGGGUUUUACCAGAAGUGGCUAGUCUAACCGCAAGGAGGACGGUCACCACGGUAGGAUUCAUGACUGGGGU